UAGGGAAUCUUCGGCAAUGGACGAAAGUCUGACCGAGCAACGCCGCGUGAGUGAAGAAGGUUUUCGGAUCGUAAAACUCUGUUGUUAGAGAAGAACAAGGACGUUAGUAACUGAACGUCCCCUGACGGUAUCUAACCAGAAAGCCACGGCUAACUACGUGCCAGCAGCCGCGGUAAUACGUAGGUGGCAAGCGUUGUCCGGAUUUAUUGGGCGUAAAGCGAGCGCAGGCGGUUGCUUAAGUCUGAUGUGAAAGCCCCCGGCUCAACCGGGGAGGGUAAUUGGAAACUGGGAGACUUGAGUGCAGAAGAGGAGAGUGGAAUUCAAUGUGGAGCGGUGAAAUGCGUAGAUAUAUGGAGGAACAGCAGUAGCGAAGGCGGCUCUCUGGUCUGUGACUGACGCUGAGGCUCGAAAGCGUGGGGAGCAAACAGG
rnacentral:rRNA from 1 species